rnacentral:rRNA from 1 species
GGCCAGCAGCCGCGGUAAUACCAGCUCUCCGAGUGGUGUGGAUGUUUAUUGGGCCUAAAGCAUCCGUAGCUGGCUAAGUUAGUCCCUUGUUAAAUCCACCGAAUUAAUCGUUGGAUCGCGGGGGAUACUGCUUGGCUAGGGGACGAGAGAGGCAGACGGUAUUUUCGGGGUAGGGGUGAAAUCCUAUAAUCCCGGGAAGACCACCAGUGGCGAAGGCUGUCUGCUAGAACGCGCCCGACGGUGAGGGAUGAAAGCUGGGGGAGCGAACCGGAUUAGAUACCCGGGUAGUCCCAGCUGUAAACGAUGCAGACUAGGUGUUUGGACGGCCACGUGCCGUUCUAGUGCCGCAGGGAAGCUGUUAAGUCUGCCGCCUGGGGAGUACGAUCGCAAGAUUGAAACUUAAAGGAAUUGGCGGGGGA